AUCAAUGAAUAAUUGUCAAAAUUUCUGUGGCCUUGGUAAGCAAGGCAGAGAAUUGAAUUGAAAACGUCAAUUCCAGUCAAUUGUUCUAUCUAAAAUUAAUAAAUAAAAGCCUUGAUGAGCAAGCUCAUAAAGGCAAGAGCUGCCUCUUAUAAAUUGCUGUGAAUUUGGCCCUUCCCAUUCCAGUGCUGCAACCAAAUAUUAGAGGCAUACAUUUCCUCUUUUUUACAAUUUUAUUGUUUUUGUUUUUAAAUUUUUAUAAUGUUAGUUUUAGGUUAUUUUUUAUGUUAUUUAAAUAAUAUACAAUUUUUUUUUUUUUUUGAAAAAAAAACAUUAGUGGGCAAUAGACUAUUAAGAGAGUGGACAAUGAUAAUAAUUAUUAUUAAUUAUACGCUGAAUAGUGCGUAGUGGCAAAAUUUGCCCAACCGACAUCGUCUGAGUCCACUCUUAAUUCAUGUUGUCUGAGUUAAUCAUUUAUUUCACUCACCUUUAAGUUUAAAAAAGCGAAACCUCACAGCCAAAAAAAAAAACAGGAAUUUCCAGCUUCAACAAUUAAAACUGCAUGAUUCUUCUCCUUUUUUCUGAUUGAUUAUAUAUCUGUGUAUAUAUAUAUAUACUGUAUAGUUAGUUGUGGGUAUCUUUGUGUUUGCAGGUCUUUCCAUGGCAGCUUGGUAACUGAAGGGAUGCUAACAACGCUGGUUAAAACAUUGGAUCUACAGGAGAUUAAUUGAGACUGGAUGGAGCUCCUGGUGCAUGCCUCCGAUUCUCGGGUUUUUUCUUGGCCUUCGCUCUUCGUUGUGUAAGCGCCACUGCUUAAUCCGGUGACACUGCAAGGUGCUGUAAUAGUUGAGAGAAUAAUGUCUUUUCGAAUUCCAAGCAGACAGUGAGUCCAUACUCAAGGAUGCUUCAGAGCCACGAGUUUUGUGGUGCAGCCUGAAAGCCUACUUUUUUUAAUGGGCUUGAGUGUUUAGUUUUGUCUAGGUUGUCUUUUUGUCUUUUUCGGCCGACACCCUAUUCCUUGAAUUGAGUCUUGUGCUUUUUACUACCUCCAUCAAUGAAAAAUCUACUAUAUUUCGGGGAAACAAAAGUUAAAAUUCAUUUUUUUUUUCACCUGUUUUCUGUUUCAUUUAGCUAAAAGAAGCUCCUCAAUUGUGCCUUUAUAGCUGCUGCCUACGUGCUUUGUUGGCGGCACGGAAUGAUUAUGAAACGGAAACAAAGGCAACAUUAAUCCAUUUUUGCUUUUGUUUUCUAAAAAUUUAUUUUAUGCAAUCUACAUGACAUCCACCAUAAGCAACGGCUAUAAUACAUUGGUUAAUAUCCAGACUGAAAAUGGAAAGUGUGCACGACUGAGCCAAC
rnacentral:lncRNA from 1 species